rnacentral:lncRNA from 1 species
GGCUAGUCUCGAACUUCUAGGCUCAAGCCAUCCACCUGCCUUGGCCUCCCAAAGCCCUGGAAUUACAGGUGUAAGCCACCAUGCCUGGCAUCAUCCUUAUUUCUUUUUCUUUUUCUUUUUAGGCAGAGUUUCGCUCUUGUUGCCUAGACUGGAGUGCAAUGGCAUGAUCUUGGCUUACUGCAACUGCCGCCUUCUAGGUUCAAGCAAUUCUCCUGCCUCAGCCUCCUGAGUAGCUGGGAUUACAGGUGUGCACCACCAUGCCCAGCAAAUUUUUGUAUUUUUAGUAGAGAAGGGGUUUCACCAUGUUGGCCAGGCUGGUCUCGAACUCCUGACCUCAGGCCAAUUCUGAACCGAGAUAGAAGCUCUAGGUCUAACCCCCAGCUCCCUUCUGCUAAAAGUCUGACCUAGACUUUGUAUUCCAAUCAGAUAAGAAGGAUUUUACCCAUUUUUCCGGUGUUCUAUUGCUUAUAUCCAAAUGUUGGUGACCUUAUCUUUUGCUCCUGGAG